AACGUAGGACACAAGCGUUAUCCGGAGUUACUGGGCGUAAAGGCUCGUAGGCGGCCAACUAAGUCAUACGUGAAAUCCCUCAGCUUAACUGGGGAACUGCGUGUGAUACUGGAUGGCUUGGAUUUGGGAGAGGGAUGCGGAAUUCCAGGUGUAGCGGUGAAAUGCGUAGAUAUCUGGAGGAACACCGGUGGCGAAGGCGGCAUCCUGGACCAAUAUUGGACGCUGAGGAGCGAAAGCCAGGGGAGCAAAC
rnacentral:rRNA from 1 species